CUACGGGGUGCUGCAGUGGGGAAUAUUGGACAAUGGGGGAAACCCUGAUCCAGCAAUGCCGCGUGUGUGAAGAAGGCCUGCGGGUUGUAAAGCACUUUCGGUUGGGAGGACUGCUUCUAGCACUAAUAUUGUUGGAAGUUGACGUUACCUUCAGAAGAAGCACCGGCUAACUCCGUGCCAGCAGCCGCGGUAAUACGGAAGGUGCAAGCGUUAAUCGGAAUUACUGGGCGUAAAGCGCGCGUAGGCGGCUAGAUCAGUCGGGUGUGAAAGCCCCGGGCUUAACCUGGGAACUGCAUCCGAUACUGUCUAGCUUGAGUACAGGAGAGGAGAGUGGAAUUCCACAUGUAGCGGUGAAAUGCGUAGAUAUGUGGAGGAACACCAAUGGCGAAGGCAGCUCUCUGGCCUGAUACUGACGCUGAGGUGCGAAAGCGUGGGGAGCAAACAGGAUUAGAUACCCUCGUAGUC
rnacentral:rRNA from 1 species